UGCACACGGUUGGUGCUGACCUCAAA
rnacentral:piRNA from 1 species